CUGGCUCAGGCGGAACCCUGGCGGCGUGACUAAUACAUGCAAGUCGCACGCACAGCUGUAAACAGAUCCUUCUUGCACUGUGACUUAAUGGACGUGAGUGGCGGUCGGGUGAGUAACACKUGGUUAACCAACCCUGAAGCGGGGAUAACCUAUGGAAACAGAUGCUAAUACCUCAUAGUUUAUCGCGUACCUCCUGNUCACAAUAAUAAAGACGGCCUUCGUCUGUCACUUCAGGACAGAACCGCGGCGUAUUAGCUAGCUGGUGGGAUUAUGGCCUACCAAGACGAUGAUACGUAACCGACCUGAGAGGGUAAUCGACCACAUUGGGACUGAGACACGGCCCAAACUCCUACGGGAGGCAGCAGUAGGGAAUCUUCCACAAUGGACGCUAGUCUGAUGGAUCAACGCCGCGUGAGUGAAGAAGGGUUUCGGCUCGUAAACCUGUUGUUGGAGAGAACAACAGGGACUAGAGUAACUGUUAGUCCUUUGACGGUAUCCAACCAGAAAGCCACGGCUAACUACGUGCCAGCAGCCGCGGUAAUACGUAGGUGGCAAGCGUUGUCCGGAUUUAUGGGCRUAAAGCGAGCGCAGGCGGUUUUUUAAGUCUGAUGUGAAAGCCUUCGGCUUAACCGAAGAAGGGCAUCAGAAACUGAGAAGCUUGAGGACAGAAAAGGAAAGUGGAACUCCAUGUGUAGCGGUGAAAUGCGUAGAUAUAUGGAAGAACACCAGUGGCGAAGGCGGCUUUCUGGUCUGUUACUGACGCUGAGGCUCGAAAGUAUGGGGAGCGAACAGGAUUAGAUACCCUGGUAGUCCAUACCGUAAACGAUGAAUGCUAAGUGUUGGAGGGUUUCCGCCCUUCAGUGCUGSAGGUAACGCAUUAAGCAUUCCGCCUGGGGAGUACGACCGCAAGGUGGAAACUCAAAGGAAUUGACGGGGGGCCGCACAAGCGGGGGAGCAUGUGG
rnacentral:rRNA from 1 species